rfam:Dipodomys ordii contig_13806, whole genome shotgun sequence.
GGGGAUGUGGCUUAGUGGUAGAGUGCGUGCCUAGCAUGCAUGAAGCCUUGGGUUCAAUUCCUUAGUACCACA